CUUUUUUCUGUCCAUAUAUUUAAGGCCUAGUAGCUAAUUUUACUGAUUUUUCCCAAUAGGAAAUAAUGGGGAAAGGACCUGCCACUUGGCACUCUCUAAGCUACGGCAUCUAGAAAGAAUUGACAAUACAAAUAGUCUAAAGCAGAGAGAGAGGAAAAUGUACCGGCGGAUGUUAGUGCCUGUAUGAAUUAUAUUUCUGUUUACACACAGGAGUCUUGAGGCCGACCCUAUUAAAAAACAAAGUUCAAGGUAAGCAAGAGAAGAGAGUGAAGUAGGAGCUUUUGCACAAUUUGAGUACAUUCUGUAGGUCCCUGCGAGAGCUGGCGCGCUCGGAGGUACGGGGGAGGAGAAGCAGGUUGCAGUCAGGCAGUCCUAUCAGGCAGUUCUGGUAAUUGCCUAAGAGAUCUCAGAAAAAAGGGAUCUGCGUUACCAAGUCCUCGAUUGACGUAAGCUGUUCAAAAUCGCCUUACAAAUGGAGAGAAUCCUCAGAAUGAAAGAGCAUGACUGCUGAAGCAAAACAAAACCCCAAGAUAAACAGCCUUCAUAGGUUUUGCCACAAUAGGUUUUCCAGGCAAAGAAUGAGCCAUCAAAAUGUCCACUCAGUGGUUCCUUGUCCUUAAGAAUCCUGGGGAGAAUCAGCUCAUCUGAAAUAGACACUCCGCUACUAUUUUUAUACCCAAUUGCAACCUGGGAAGUUGCCAGGCUUUCGUCUCAGCAGUGAGUCUUCCUAGGAACUGGAUUUAGAAUUUAUUUAUACUUACACUUUGGAGAAAGGUACAUUCUGAGUCCUUUGAGUGCUGGGUGCUUUUCCUCUUUUUGAAGACCCUUUGAAAUGACCUUUUGAUAUGUCUGGUCUCCUCCACCUAGAAAGAGGAGGCAGCAGAGGAACCAAGCUGGCAAGAACCCCCUGGCUUGGGCAUCACUAGCACUAAUGGAACGGACAAUGAGAGCUUGAACAAUGCCACCCCAUGCUUGUUUGCAAUUCAAAUCGAUGCCAGGCCCUCCCCGCAAAAGGGGAGCUGGGAGCAACCACUUUGGAUGGAACUUAAAAUCUGUCUCCCGGGCAGCAGACAACACUAAAAUAAAAAGUCUGUGCACCAA